rnacentral:rRNA from 1 species
UACGGGAGGCAGCAGUGGGGAAUAUUGCACAAUGGGCGAAAGCCUGAUGCAGCUAUGCCGCGUGUAUGAAGAAGGCCUUAGGGUUGUAAAGUACUUUCAGCGGGGAGGAAGGCGAUGCGGUUAAUAACCGCGUCGAUUGACGUUACCCGCAGAAGAAGCACCGGCUAACUCCGUGCCAGCAGCCGCGGUAAUACGGAGGGUGCAAGCGUUAAUCGGAAUUACUGGGCGUAAAGCGCACGCAGGCGGUCUGUUAAGUCAGAUGUGAAAUCCCCCGGGCUUAACCUGGGAACUGCAUUUUGAAACUGGCAGGCUUGAGUCUUGUAGAGGGGGUAGAAUUCCAGGUGUAGCGGUGAAAUGCGUAGAGAUCUGGAGGAAUACCGGGUGGCGAAGGCGGCCCCUGGGCAAAGCUGACGCUCAGGGUGCGAAAGCGUGGGGAGCGAAACAGGGAUUAGAUACC